AGAACCAGUCAUGGAGCUGGUGUAUGUGGAAGAGGGCUGAUAGUGCUUUCCUCUGAGUGUGUGUUACGCCACACUGUGAUGCAGCAGCAGCUUGAGAUGAUGUGGUUCUUUUCCUGUGUCGUGGUGGAAGCAUGAGAUUGUCUUCAUCUCACCGGAUUGUCUUCAUCUCACCUGACUGGUGGGUGGGAACUGGUCAAGAGCAAAAAUCUCCAGGACACAUGGAGAACUCUGCAGCACUCUGUGCUUGGUCUUAGUUUAGCAGCUCACAAGAUCUACAACAAAACAACACCAAGUUUAUGGUGUGCACACAGCUUUAAUCAUCACUUACUGUACAGCUGGAGUAAAUGUGAAGCGACUGCUUGUUAAGGUGUUUUCACUACAGCAACGGCUAAAAUGUGGAGGAAGAACAGAUUAAACACCAGACGUCCUCGGCUCAUUAAAAUAAGCAGGAAAUGGUUUCAGAACAGGUUGGAGAACCGCAGAGGAACUGAGCGGUGAUGUGUCAAAGCAACACGCUGAGGAGGAAGUGGAGUGAAAUCACAGAGAUGUUUGCUUCUGUUCCUGCUCACGCUUUACACGUCUCCACGUGUGUAAUCCAGACUGAACGCUCACCUCAGGGUCACGUUUUUAGAACACAUCUUCUUCACUAUUCUUCCUCAUCUUCAGUUCUUUAAUUCAAAGGUUGUUCAAAAUUGUAGCUUGUUUGGCAUUCUUAACAUCUUUACACUGGGUUUAAUGAAAAGAGCUGCUCUCAGCAUGCUGACUUUUUCCCCUUGCUGUACUUCUGACCAAUAAAUAAAAGAUUUCUCUGCCUACUUUCUCACACAGUUGCAGGAAGUGAACUAAA